AAAUCGUAACAAGGUUUCCGUAGGUGAACCUGCGGAAGGAUCAUUAAAGAGUAAGGGUCUAACCGGCCCGACCUCCAACCCUUUGUCGUUUAAAAAACACCUUGUUGCUUUGGCGGGACCGCCUACCUUCGGGUCGGCUGCCGGUCUUCGGCCCGGCAAGCGCCCGCCAGAGUCAAACCAAACUCUUGUUUUAACCAGUCGUCUGAGUAAAAAUUUUAAUAAAUUAAAA
rnacentral:misc_RNA from 1 species